rnacentral:rRNA from 1 species
GACAGAGGUGCCGAGCGUUAGGCGGAAUCACUGGGCUUAAAGCGUGUGUAGGUGGAUGCCUAAGUACCUUGUGAAAUCCCACGGCUUAACCGUGGAACUGCUUGGUAUACUGGGUGUCUUGAGCCAGCUAGGGGCUACCGGAACAAAUGGUGGAGCGGUGAAAUGCGUAGAUAUCAUUUGGAACGCCAAUGGUGAAAACAGGUAGCUGGGGCUGUGCUGACAC